UAUUUAGGAAUCUAAUACUAAUUAAGAUUUCUUGUUUAAUUGAAUUUCAACCUCUUAUUUAGCCGUUGUCUGGCCUCUUGUCGCGCUUUCCAUAUUUACGUCCUACAAAUGCGUCCAUAACAUGACUUUUCUCUCAUUGGUUGGCCAUGACUUCUUAUCUUCAAGUUUUUGUUAUGACAAAAAGAAUGCUUGGUAAGAUCUUUGUAGAUGAGUUGGCAACUGUUCGUGCUCGGUAGGAUAAGAACUCUUGAUUCCUUAUGAGAGUUUAAAGUUGAAAUCCAAAUCUUUUUUUUGUUUGAGAUAAGAAGUUGAAAUCCAAAUCUUGAUGAGAUAAGUAUCCUUGAUUUUUCUCAUGUAUAAUAUGUGUCUAAUCAAGGAAUAAUGAUUGAAAAGGAGAGUAGUUGAGUGACAACCGAAUUUUAAGGACUCUUGGAUUGGUGAUUAUGAAGAGUUGGAGGAGAUUAAGGACUCUCAUGGAUGAUUGGCUGAGAGUCCUUAAUUUGUAGGAUAUUGAGUGGCCGACCCUCCCCUUGGCCGAAUGGAUUCUGGCUCCCUCCUUUAUGGACUUCCAAGCUCGUGCAGGCUUUCUUCUUCAUUAAUCAACUCUUGAACAAAAGCUUGAAAGGCUUGCUUAAGUUUUUUGGCCCGUGAUCUUGUGAUAGGUCCACUAAGCAUUAUGAUACUCCUUCCAUGUGGUUCAGGUACAUUUUGUGUGGUGUCCAACUUUUGUUCAUCUCCAUGUGGAAGUUGUUCAUGGCCCAACCCGUUUUGAUCUCCACUCAUAUGGACCUUGCCGUGAGGAUCUCCCCUUGUAUGGAUCUUGCGUGAGGAUUUCCCUUGUAUGGAUCUUGCUGUGAUCUUCAUCACUCAUGUGGCCCAAGCUGCCUUGAUCUUCAUCAUUUUUCAUCACCUCCUAGUUGAACUUAGUGUGAAUUUCCAGAUGGAUUUGGCAAGAACUGCUUAUUUGUUCCUGCAUUAGGCAGCUGAGGAGAGAAACGUGGUCUGCUGAAAAGCAUGCAGUAACUUAAGAACAGAAUUAUUUGAGGGUGAAAUGUUCCAACUGUCUAAUUCUUUUAUUUAUAAUGUUUAUUUAUUUUUUUUGAGAUAAAAAUGAGUAAGUAUAUUAAAAAUAGGUACCAAGGGGAUGCCACCCGUAUACAAAAGAUUUACAGAUAGGUAAGAGUAUGUACAAUAGAAGAAAAAUCAAUAAUAUUAUCAAGGUUGUGCCCAAGAACAAUAGAACCAAAAAGGUGCAACCAUUUAUCCUUGAUAGCAACAAAAUCUGAUUCUUUACCCCCAAAAGUUCUGUUGUUCAUUUCUUUCCAACUAAUCCAAAAAAUAAUCAAAAGAAUGAUUUUCAGAUUAACUUUUCUCUUGCACAGGCCUUCUCAGGCAAAAAGUUCUUCCUUAACAGACCCAGUAGUAACCCAGGAUCAUUCAUGAUGUUUAAAACCAUUGACCAGAGAGAUUGAGAGAAAGGGCAGCAAAGGAGCAGGUGAGAGCAUGUUUCCACACCAGUUUUACAUAAAAAGCAUCUAUUAACCAUAGUGAUACCUCUCAUUUGAAGCCAUAGACCACCUGGAAAAGUUAGAUAUAGAAUUCCCCACCUGUUUUAUACUCUUCCAUAGACUGAAGCCAUGUAUGCUGUGAUCCAGAAAGUUGGAAUUAUGCAAGUCUUCCCCAUACCAUUUAUGGACGAUAAAAUUUCUCCAAAGGCUAUUUUAUUCGUUCCAAAAACGCCAAGUCCAUUUAAAUGUGAUGACAGAUUUAAUAUCCAAUCCUCCAGCGGCAAUAGGUUUUUUGAGCUCCUCCCAUCUGACAAGGUGGAUUUUCCUUUUGUUGACCUCAUCACCCCAAAGAAAAAGAUUUUGUAUUGCUUCCAAUUUUUUUGCGAUAGUUUUAGGGAUGCACAAAACAGAGAGAAAAUAAAUCGGAAGAUUCGAUAGAGUGCUUUUUAUGAGUGUUAAUCUACCUCCCUUUAAGAGAAAGUUUCUUUUCCACCCAGCAAGCUUAUUCUCAAUAGGUUCAAUAAUUGGGUCCUAACUCCUCCGAUCUUUGUAGCAAGCACCGAGAGGCAUUCCCAACUAUUUGAUGGGUAGAUUAGCGGUUCUGCUGUUUAAAACCUGAGCCAGAGACCGUCUGUUGCCUUCAUUACCAAUCUCCACAAGUUUGGAUUUAUGCAAGUUAAUUUUAAGUCCAGAGACAGCUUGAAAGCAUAGAAGAAUACACCUUAAAGUGAGAAGGGAAUUGACAUCCGGUUGAUAAAACAUAUAGGUGUCGUCGGCAAUGAAGAGAUGUGUGAUUUGAAUUUUUGAGCCGAAAUUACCCACUUUCGAUACACCUUAGAAAUUGUAGAGUUCUGGCUUUUUCUAUAAGUUUGUUUAUUCCUUCCAUAACAAUUAUGAAUAAUAAUGGGGAUAGUGGGUCACCUUGUCUCAAUCUCCUUGAAGGCUGAAAGAAAUUAGAGGGGCCACCAUUUACCAUAACAGCGAAAUUAGACAUGGAAAUACAAUUUUGAAUCCACCUCCGCAUUUUUCACCAAACCUCAUUUUGUCCAACAAAUAAUCGAUAAAAUUCUAUGAAACAUGAUCAAAUGCUUUUUCCAUAUCUAAUUUGCAAAGGACCCCCUUUUUAGUAUUUCUGUAGAUAUCAUCCACCACCUCAUUAGCAGCUAGAAUAGCAUCAGUAAUUUGUCUCCCGGAUAUAAAAGCCAACUGAUUUGCACCAAUGAUCUUGUGAAGGCAAUUUGAUAACCUCUUAGAAAGGGCUUUUGAGAGAAGCUUGUAAAUACAUCCCACUAGGCUUAUUGGGCGAAAAUCCUUGAUGUUUUUGGCUCCUGGUUUUUUGGGGAUCAUGACAAUGAAAGUGGAGUUCAAAGAUCUAACCAUGGAGCCAUUUUUGUGAAAGUCAUUGGAAAAGACAAGAAUAUCAGUUUUGAGAACCUCCUAGUAAAGUUGCAGAAAUUUAAAAUUGAAGCCAUCUGGUCCGGGAGCUUUGUCCUCAUUACAUUCCUUGAGGCAACUAUGAAUUUCAGCUUCUGAGAACUCAGCUUCCAGUUGCAGCUUGUCCAAAGUGUCUAAGCGAUCAAACUGCAGACCAUUUAAUUUAGGUCAGCAUUCUACCUCUUCUAUAUACAGCCUUUUGAAGUAAGACAUGGCAUGAUCUCUCAUGUUAUCAUUGCCUUUAAUGCAGAUCCCAUCAACUUCAAUUUCCUCAAUAUAAUUGAUUCUUCUAUGGUUAGCCAAACAAUGGAAGUAUUUGAUAUUCCGGUCACCUUCUUUCAGCCACUUUUCUCUUGAUUUUUGCUUCCAAGAUACUGCUUCCCUAUGCGUACAAUUAGCCAAUUUGAUUUUGAGCAAAUCUCUCUUGCCUCUUUCCUCUGCAGUCAAACCAGCUAGUCCCUCUAUUCUUUCCAGUUCUCCAAUUUCAUACAGAUAAUCCUCAAUAUUGUUAUCCUCGUUAAUUUCUGCAACCUUGGCCCAUUCCUUAUUGAAAUCAAAUUUUCUUGGGUCCUUCUCUUUGCUUUUCAGAUCUUCUUUUUUAUUUUUUUUGUUUUUAUAUCAAAAUUAGGGUAAUAUACUGUAUGUUUCAAUGAGGAAAUCAUUAUAGAUAGAUCUCUUUAUAAAUUUCGCUGACCGAUUAUGUUACUAAGCUAGGUAGUUCAUAUGUCCUGCUGAUAACUGAACAGAAUAUUUCCUGCCAAUUCAAGGAAGCUAUGUGAUGGUCUGCAUAGUCAUGAUUUUUUUUUGAAAUAAAAGUAGAAAGAGAGUGAAUUGCAGAAAAAACUUCUAAAAAUUUGAUUCUUGUUCUCCUAAAAAUCAAUUCGCAAAAUUUAUAGGGAGCCAAUUUUUUCUGAAGAAAUCUUUUCUACUUUAGUUGUCUUCUAGGGGAAUAAAAAUUUAAAUUUAUCUAGAGAACUCUUUACCCACACGAGGAAUAAACUUUGGUUUGCUAAUCUUUAGGAAUGAAGACCCUUUCGUUUGUGAGAAUAAUGAGCUAUCUUAGAUGGUUAAAUUUCUUGCAGUUAUUGGAGAACUGGGAUCAGAUUAUAUGAUUAUUAGAAAUUAGUAGGUUAGCCAACAUGAUAUAGCUCUUUAUUAGGAAACCUAGUCAAUGGACCAGGAAUAUGGAAGAACCAAUUGUAGCUUCUAGCAGUGUAGUAUUAUUUCGUGAUCCAAAUUGGUUAUAGUAAAAGUACUUCCUGAUCCAAAUUAGAAGUUGUGAGUUUAAAGCGGAAAAGAUCUUGCUAAGGACUCUCAUAACUUUAAGCUAUUUAAUUAGGUGGUAAUUACAGAUUGAUAGCAAACUUCAUUUUCGUGAGAGGAUGUAGAAUUCUGAUGCUGUGAAUCUGGAAGAGAUAUUCUGACAGCUUGUUUACACAUUACUGGUAAGGUUAUUGACUUUGAUGUUCUGGAUUUUUGAGAGAUUUGAAUCUUAUAGUAGUGGACAAAUCACCUUAGCCACAUGUUCUAUGCGAGAAAUUUCUGCUUUGCAGUAGGUGCUAAUCAACUUAGCCACAUGUCUUGUCACUCUUCAUCAUUUAUCCAGUAGUGUGGCUAUGAGCAUUGACAGAAGUUGUCAAGGAGUUGAGAACUGUGGUUGAAUAUGUGACUAUGGGGUCGACAAGGAUGAAGUUGAAUGGCAGCACAGCCUGGUGUCUCAUGCCAACCAUAUUAGCAGCACAACCUGGUGUCUCAUGCUAACCAUAUUUGACCUAUUUAGUAGAUGGUGAAAAGAAAAGAGUUUGUUUAAACUAUAUAGUUGCUACAAUGAAGAAUCUGAAAGUAAAUGGUGACGGCUAUAGAAAAUAGUUGCCUAUCACUGCUUGUCGUAACAUAAAUUAACCCUUAACAGAUCUUUAACAGUUUUACAAGUUUCCAUGCCUUGUAUGCAGGUUAUCUGACGAACAUACUAGAUUAUCUGCCAAUGGCAAAACUAGCUUGCAAAUAUUCCUUUUUCUUUUCCUGCUUAAGAAAUGGUGAAGCCUAUGUAAUCCAAGUGUAUCUGCCUGGUGUAAUAUGGGAUGAUUACUUCUAUCUACGUUAUUAUUGAGUUUGUGUAGUGAUUGAGGGAGUUGUAAUGUAUUAUUCAUGUGGGGGAGCCUCGUUUAUUCUUCA